AGCGUUGAAACACCGGUUCCCUACGAUCACCGAAGUUAAGCAACGUUUAGCCUGGCCAGUACCUAGUUGGGUGACCGUUUGAGAAUACCAGGUGCUGUG